rnacentral:rRNA from 1 species
AGAGUUUGAUCAUGGCUCAGGAUGAACGCUGGCGGUAUGCUUAACACAUGCAAGUCGAACGGUACCUUUCGGGGUGCAGUGGCGGACGGGUGAGUAACGCGUGAGAAUCUGGCUCCAGGUCGGGGACAACCACGGGAAACGGUGGCUAAUACCGGAUGUGCCUAAGGGUGAAAGAUUAAUUGCCUGGAGAUGAGCUCGCGUCUGAUUAGCUAGUUGGUGGGGUAAGAGCUUACCAAGGCGACGAUCAGUAGCUGGUCUGAGAGGACGAUCAGCCACACUGGGACUGAGACACGGCCCAGACUCCUACGGGAGGCAGCAGUGGGGAAUUUUCCGCAAUGGGCGAAAGCCUGACGGAGCAAUACCGCGUGAGGGAGGAAGGCUCUUGGGUUGUAAACCUCUUUUCUCAGGGAAGAAAAAAAUGACGGUACCUGAGGAAUAAGCAUCGGCUAACUCCGUGCCAGCCGCCGCGGUAAUUC